CAUGGCUCUCAGGGUGGAGAGUCCCUCAGCUAGCUAGCCCCUCUUCUGGGAUUUCUGCCGGCUGCAGGCCGCGUGGGAAGGACUCGGGGACACCGGGAAGCCGCGCAGUGGUGAUGGAAGAAACUCAGAUGACCAGCACAUUGAGGAUGAGAAUAAAAUCUUCAGAAACAUUCUAAGGUAACUUGCAUUCAUGAGAAGAAUGUUCCUCAAAUGUCAGAAAAUUAAACCCAAGCAAACGCAAAAGGAAGACUAUGUUUAAAUUAUUGUUCUUAUUUUUAUUUUAAAGGGGAUAAAACAGAAUAAAACCAAUACAAAAAAAAAAAAAAAAAAAAAAAAAAAACCAGGAUAAGAAACACCAGACUAAAAUCAUUACAGAAAUCAAGAAUAGUUAUAAGAAUGCCUUUUGAUGUUUUCAA
rnacentral:lncRNA from 1 species